AUUGAACGCUGGCGGCAUGCUUUACACAUGCAAGUCGAACGGUAACAGGUUAAGCUGACGAGUGGCGAACGGGUGAGUAAUGCAUCGGAACGUGCCCGAUCGUGGGGGAUAACGCAGCGAAAGCUGCGCUAAUACCGCAUACGAUCUGAGGAUGAAAGCGGGGGACCGUAAGGCCUCGCGCGAUCGGAGCGGCCGAUGUCAGAUUAGGUAGUUGGUGGGGUAAAGGCUCACCAAGCCAACGAUCUGUAGCUGGUAUGAGAGGACGACCAGCCACACUGGGACUGAGACACGGCCCAGACUCCUACGGGAGGCAGCAGUGGGGAAUUUUGGACAAUGGGCGAAAGCCUGCUCCAGCAAUGCCGCGUGCAGGAAGAAGGCCUUCGGGUUGUAAACUGCUUUUGUACGGAGCGAAAAGGUCCCCUCUAAUACAGGGGGCUCAUGACGGUACCGUAAGAAUAAGCACCGGCUAACUACGUGCCAGCCGCCGCCGUAA
rnacentral:rRNA from 1 species